GCUGGGAGCUGUAGUCCUGGGGCACGGGGCUGCCGGGCGGCCAUGUUGGUCUCUGCAGUCUCCGCUCCAGCUGCGGCCCGGCUGAGUACAAGGAUGCAUGUAUGAAGGCAAAUCGAGGGUACAAGUGGUGCCCCACAGCAAACCAACCUGCGAAACCCCAGACAUCCACUGUUACAAACAGGAAGAAGCUAUGGGCCUUUGCUUCGGACUCUGCAAAGGAUUUACCAAGCCCGAGGAAAGGGACAAGAAGUGACAAAAUGCCACAGCGUAACUUCAGGAUGGCAGAUCGGACACAAAUGGGAGGCCUGAGUAUGCUGCUUUUAGCAGGGGAACGUGCCCUGACUGCACAAGAGAUCUCCUCAAGCACAUCGCAGCCUGGAGUCCUGGGAGCUGUGAAACCAAGCGAGGAGUCUGCAUUGUUUCAGUUUGCUGAGUGUGCCUCUAGGAACUGGUUUUCCACACCUAUACUCUUCUUGCCCAUUUGGGGGGUCUGGUACUGCUUACAGAACCAGUUAGGCUAAAUGGAUCUUCAGGGUGUGUCUGAGAAGACUGGGAGUGGAGCUGGUGCUAGCAUGGAGGAGUAUAACGGGGUGAGAAGGUAACCAUAUGUCCUUCCAUGUACUUGCAGAGGUUUGACUACAGAGAAGAUGCUUCUUUCUGUUAAAUGUUAAGGGAAUUGUGUACUGUGUGUUUUCAGCUUGGCUAGGAUGGGCCUUGAUGUAUUUGUUGGGAGGUUCAGUGAAGAAAAAACUGAUUUACUGAUUCAGGUGCCAUAAAAUAC